GAUUAUAAAUUUUUAAAAAAUGUAUUGUCUAUUACUGAUAGUUUCUCAAUGCAGUGCUCAUUGGCAACUUCUGAUUAUUUGUCCUAUGGACAAUAUAUCUGUAUGCAUUUGUUCGAUGCACAAACCUCCUCCUGCAGAUUUUAAACAAUUAUUAGAUAAGGCUAUGGAAGGAUACCAUAUGCUUAAAGGUUCAAAGUUGAAGAAAAAAAUGCUUUGGGUCUCUCUUAAAUCUCAUAAGCAAAAAGGAAACUAUGAGUGCGG